rnacentral:misc_RNA from 1 species
GAUGAAGAACGUAGCGAAAUGCGAUAAGUAAUGUGAAUUGCAGAACUCCGUGGAUCAUCGAAUCUUUGAACGCAUAUUGCGCCCUCUGGUAUUCCGGAGGGCAUGCCUGUCUGAGCGUCAUUCAACCCCUUCAGGCCUGGUAAAAAGUCCCUGGUGGCCGCUGGCCCAGUGCCGAUUCUUUCGGUAUAUCUUUAACUAGGUUGGCCUCGGAUCAGGUAGGGAUACCCGCUGAACUUAAGCAUAUCAAUAAGCGGAGGA